rnacentral:rRNA from 1 species
AUGUCAGCCGCCGCGGUAAGACAGAGGAGGCUAGCGUUGUUCGGAAUCACUGGGCUUAAAGCGGGUGUAGGCGGCCUGGCAAGUGUCGUGUGAAAGCCCCCGGCUCAACCGGGGAAUUGCAUGGCAAACUGCCAGGCUUGAGGUCGGUAGGGGUGCCUGGAACUCUCGGUGGAGCGGUGAAAUGCGUAGAUAUCGAGAGGAACGCCGGAGGCGAAAGCGGGGCACUGGGCCGAUUCUGACGCUGAGCCCCGAAAGCGUGGGGAGCAAACAGGAUUAGAUACCCUGGUAGUCCACGCCGUAAACGAUGAGAACUAGGUGUAGCGGGUAUUGACCCCUGCUGUGCCGAAGCUAACGCAUUAAGUUCUCCGCCUGGGGAGUACGGCCGCAAGGCUAAAACUUAAAUGAAUUGACGGGG